GAUCAUGGCUCAGAUUGAACGCUGGCGGAAUGCUUUACACAUGCAAGUCGAACGGUAGAGGGGGGCAACCCCUUGAGAGUGGCGAACGGGUGAGUAAUGUAUCGGAACGUGCCCAGUAGUGGGGGAUAACUACUCGAAAGAGUGGCUAAUACCGCAUGAGAACUGAGGUUGAAAGCGGGGGACCUUCGGGCCUCGCGCUACUGGAGCGGCCGAUAUCAGAUUAGGUAGUUGGUGGGGUAAAGGCCUACCAAGCCGACGAUCUGUAGCGGGUCUGAGAGGAUGAUCCGCCACACUGGGACUGAGACACGGCCCAGACUCCUACGGGAGGCAGCAGUGGGGAAUUUUGGACAAUGGGGGAAACCCUGAUCCAGCCAUGCUGCGUGAGUGAAGAAGGCCUUCGGGUUGUAAAGCUCUUUCGGCUGGGAAGAAAUCGCACAGGCUAAUACUCUGUGUGGAUGACGGUACCAGCACAAGAAGCACCGGCUAACUACGUG
rnacentral:rRNA from 1 species